AGCUGAUUACAGGGACAGAAAUAUUCUCGAUACAGCACGAUUAAAUAAUGAGCUUGUAUGAUUACUUCUGCAUUAAUACUAACAAUACUUAUGCUACGAUUUGUGUGGUAGUUUUCGGGCUGUCCAGCUCCCUCACGGUCCCAUCCUAUCAACAUGGCGAGCAAGCCCGCCCUGACUAGAUUAGAAGUCUACAGGGCUCUCCCUGCAGUGAGGUGCAGAGACAUAUCACAGCUGUCACACUGCCCCAAUGAUCCCGACAAAGGGUGGGUUUCAGAGAAGAAUUCAGAGUAACACAGUAAAGGAUCGAUAUCGGGAGAACUCCAGUGGAAGCGUUAAAUUAUUCCAGGACUCAUGGGGACUCGGUGAAAGCUGAAAUGUCAGGGUGACAGCAGAGGACACCACAGAACGAUGAUGUAAGAGGGAGAGGGAAGAGCCAACGAAUAAUGUCGGCAGUGUUGUGCAGAUGCUGGGCCUGUUUCUGAAGGCAUCGAGGUGACUAUGCAGAUUUUAACUAUCUCUGUGCUAAUGAGGCUGAAUCUCUAGUUUGGCUCCUCUGGAGAGACUACAAGGGUUGAAACAUUUCAAAGCAAAAAGCUGAAGGAAUCAAGAUGGUGGGAAGAUAAGCCUCAGCCUGGGAGAAGAUACAGGCAGAAGCCACAUCUAACCCAAAACUUUUUAUCAAAAACAAAGAAUGAACUAUCGCAACUCGAUAUGAAGAAAGCCAAUCACUCUGCAGGUAUGGUGGCACAUACCUGUACAUCUCAGACCUUGGGAUCAGAGGCAAGGGGAUCAGGAGCCCAAGGCCACUCUGAAAGCCUAGACUUCGUGAGACCAUGUCUCAAAAUAAACCACUUGGCUAAAAAGUGGGUCAAAAAUUUUAUAGACACCUCACCAAAGAAGUUAUGAAACUGGCAAUUAAGUGUAGGAAGAGACAUUCCAUAUUGUAUGUCAGUGGAGAAAUGCAGAAGAAAUGAUGUCCUACUACUGUUAUGGUCUCAGUAUGAAAUGUUUCCACACACUAUGUUCUGGAGACUCCAUCCAGCUGGGGGUGCUGUCUGGGGAGACUCAGAAAACUGUAGAGGGGGGCAUGGCUGGAGGAUGGAGGGCACCAGGGCUGUAUCCGUUGGGCUAUAUCUUGCCAUAAUAUUUUGCCUUGCCAUAGGCCCAGAGCAAUGAAGAAGGCUACCAUGGACUGCAACCUCUUUGAAAUCAUGAGCCAAGUCAAAUCUUUCUCCUUUUAAACGUUCUUUUUCUUCCUUCCU